GACACCAUAACCACUACACUGAGCUGUAGUGGUUAUUGUGUCUGGAUUAUUUCUUUAAAUAAUCUACAAGUGCCCCUCCCGAGAUCAGGCUCUGGAUCCGCCACUGAUAGUAGGUCGAUAGCAGAAUUCAACUAACGUAAACUCCCGUGACCAAUCUGCAGCUUUAAGGAGGUCCUCCAGGCGACAACCUCAAGAAGCUCCUUCAGAGGUCAUAGCUUCCCUAGCAGAGAAUCUAGAGGUAUCUAUCCCUGCAGAUUUCAGAAUCCACCGUGUUGGGCAAACCAGGCAUAUGAUUAGCUUGAAAUGGGAGGUUGCAAGCUAGGCAGAACUGUCAAAACUUCUUUGCCAAGUUCAACAGAAGUCAUGAUCUGGUGCCCGCUAGUUGUAUUUAUAUAUUGGACCACUGACACAUUGUCCAGACAUAGUAGUAUGGAACAAUUUGCCAAUUUGUUUGUGAGACUUCAAAGUGGGAAUAAGCUGGCUAAAAGUUAUCGGCAAUUGAUGUGCAGGUUCCUCUACUCUUGUGACCAUUUGCCACUUGUGGAGAUAUUUUUACAUCACGCACUGUGAGGAUAUUUAUGGGGUG